UAACAAAAGGUCACUUUUGCUAUCAAGUUUUUAGUCUUUUGAUCAAUUUCUUUUAUCAUUUCUAACCAUUGGAUUGAAUAUUAUAACCCAGUAAGAAUCACUCAACCCUAGGGGAACCACUCAAUCCUAUAAGGGAUUAAUAUUAUCCUAAUCUUACAAUUUCUUAUCCAAGAGUUAAAAACUUGAUAGCAAAAUGGGCCAAAUACUAUCAAUAGUAUUCCAGCCCAACUCUCUCUCUCUCUCUCUUUAUAUAUAUAUAUGUAUGUCUGUAUGUAUGUAUAUAUAGUUGAGCUAGAAUGCUAUUAAUAGCAAACGAACUACGUUGCCACUUAUUUAUUCGGAGACUCCAAAUCAAUGAUCAGCAUUGUUGAAUAUGAUUUAUAUCACUUAAAGCAUCUAAAAACCAAAUUUCAUAUUUUUCGAUAUUGUUCUCUUGUCCAUCAAGUGGACAUAAUGUCGAUUUGGAGGCUUCAUAAUAAAAAAUAAAUAGGUGGCUACGGAAUCCUAUUGCUACUGAUAGCAUUUCCCCAAAGAUGUACCACCACACAAAAUAUAAUCCAAGGGUUUGGAGGGUAACAAGUACUUUUGAACAAAAGC
rnacentral:lncRNA from 1 species